ACCACCACCUUCCAUUAUAUUUUCUUGCCGAAAAAAUGAAGUCCAUCACCCAAAUUAUACUUCCUCUCUUUCUCUCUCUGUUUUUCUCUUCCUCUUGCAACCCCCACCCCUGCCUCCACCUUCUCUUCUUCCCAACAAAAUAAAUUCGAAUAGAAAAAAAUAAAGAGCAGAUCUAAAAUAAAAGAAAAAGAACAAAUUCUGAAAAAGAAAAAAACAUUAAUUUAAAGUGAAAUGAAGAAAAAACACAUAAAAGAAAAAAAAAGAAAUAUGAUGUAUUCAAGGG
rnacentral:lncRNA from 1 species